GAUGAACGCUGGCGGCGUGCCUAAUACAUGCAAGUCGAGCGAACAGAUAAGGAGCUUGCUCCUUUGACGUUAGCGGCGGACGGGUGAGUAACACGUGGGUAACCUACCUAUAAGACUGGAAUAACUCCGGGAAACCGGGGCUAAUGCCGGAUAACAUUUAGAACCGCAUGGUUCUAAAGUGAAAGAUGGUUUUGCUAUCACUUAUAGAUGGACCCGCGCCGUAUUAGCUAGUUGGUAAGGUAACGGCUUACCAAGGCAACGAUACGUAGCCGACCUGAGAGGGUGGUCGGCCACACUGGAACUGAGACACGGUCCAGACUCCUACGGGAGGCAGCAGUAGGGAAUCUUCCGCAAUGGGCGAAAGCCUGACGGAGCAACGCCGCGUGAGUGAUGAAGGUCUUCGGAUCGUAAAACUCUGUUAUUAGGGAAGAACAAAUGUGUAAGUAACUGUGCACGUCUUGACGGUACCUAAUCAGAAAGCCACGGCUAACUACGUG
rnacentral:rRNA from 1 species